CGCCCUCCGCGCGACUCCCUGCCCACCAGCCACCAUGUCCGACCCUGCGGUCAACGCACAGCUGGACGGGAUCAUUUCAGACUUCGAAGCCUUGAAGGAGAUCUUU